AUCCAGCUGACGAGUCCCAAAUAGGACGAAAUGCACAUCCUGGAU
rfam:Trichobilharzia regenti genome assembly, scaffold: TRE_scaffold0002353